GCCAGCGUGGUCGAAUUGGUCAAGGCGCUCGACCGGUAAUCGAGAGAUGCGUGGUUCAAAUCCCGCCGCUGUCUGGCU